GCCCCUAGUAAGAAGUAUUAUGGCCGAGGUCCCAUCCAAAUUUCUUAGUAAGUUCCAUGCACGUAUGCAUCUCUCUUCCUUGUUUAUUUUAUUUUGAAUUUUUGAUAGGUUAUGGGUCCCAUUUAUGAAUUCUAUCCAAUGCUUUUUUGAUAUUUAUAGCAAAAUUCCAUCAUUAGAUGUAUAUUAACAUUUGUUAAUUAAUAUUAUAAAACAUAUAAGAGGGCCAAACGCAAAUUCCAUAAAAAGUAAUCAUCCAGCAGGAAACUAGGGAUAUUUUCUAUAUAUAAAUUAAAUUUUAUAAAUUUCAACGGUAGUUGCUUGAAAAGCUUUUAGGUUAUUAAUGGGAUUUUCAACAUAUAUGAAGCAGAAUUAGAUCAUGAAUU
rnacentral:misc_RNA from 1 species